rnacentral:lncRNA from 1 species
CGGGGAGGGAUGGAGCCAACGUGGGCAUACGCUUGCGUGAGGGCGGCGUGAGCGGCACGGGCGCGCGAAGCGCGGCGGAGUUGGCCGGGGCGCGGCGCGUCGAGCGGGGCAGGGUGGAGCCGGCUGGGGCACGGCGUAGCGGGCACGACGAGGCAGAGCCGGCUGCGGAAAGGGCCAGCUCAAGGUACAGCCACGACGAUGGGGAUAGGUGGAGCCAGCCGAUGGUCUCCAUCCGUUCCUCCAUCGCGGCAGCGGUGGUUUAACUUUAAUCUUCUUCACUAUACCUAAUCAGAUUGAGUGGUGGUGCGGCCAGGCUCCGAGAUCGAUUGGUAGAUGGAUCGACUGCUCUCUUCUGUAGUCGGAGUUGGAUUUGGCUUCGGCCUUCACACUCGAAACUUGACAUUAGUACUUUGAUAGAAAGAGUAGUAUUCGGACACGAGUGCCGCACAAAUCGAUAUUGCAGAGGAAAAUUCUUGACUGGCUCAAAUCAGCCAAUGGCGACAGCGUGCGAAAAAUAUCCGACUUCAAACCGUCGGAUCACACCGGAGCGUGCGAUGGCCACAAGUCAAUUACGAAGAUUUGAAUCAAGCAGCUAGCUUGGUAAGCUGCCAACAAAAACUUGCAAUCAGUCAAAAAAUUACGAAGAUUUGAUGUGUAAGGAUGUUGCGCCUGGACGUCACUGCUAAAAAACUCUGUGACAUGCCUUAUGCUAUGUGUGAG